rnacentral:lncRNA from 1 species
UUUGGAGCACUUUGGAAGGAAGUUAAUCCUGCCGCCAUUUUCAUUUCCGCUUUGCAAUUUAUUCAACCCUCUGAUUGGAGCAGGUUUUCAUUACUUGUCUUUAUCUUAUUUAUUUUCCCGCACUCGCUUUACUUUAUUUAUUUUCCCGCACUCGCUUUACUUUAUUUAUUUUCCUCGCACUCGCUUUACUUUAUUUAUUUUUCUCGCACUCGCUUUAAAUUAUUUAUUUCCUCGCACU